UACAGAGGGUGCUAGCGUUGUUCGGAAUCAUUGGGCGUAAAGGGCGUGUAGGCGGUUUGUUAAGUCAUGUGUGAAAUCCCUCGGCUCAACCGGGGAACGACGCAUGAAACUGGCAAGCUAGAGUACCAAAGAGGGGGGUGGAAUUCCCGGUGUAGCGGUGAAAUGCGUAGAUAUCAGGAGGAACACCGGUGGCGAAGGCGGUUCUCUGGGCAUUACCUGACGCUGAGGAGCGAAAGCAUGGGGAGCGAACAGG
rnacentral:rRNA from 1 species